rnacentral:rRNA from 1 species
GAAUCUAGCUCUAGGUCGGGGACAACCACUGGAAACGGUGGCUAAUACCGGAUGUGCCGAAAGGUGAAAGAUUUAUUGCCUAGAGAUGAGCUCGCGUCUGAUUAGCUAGUUGGUGUGGUAAGAGCGCACCAAGGCGACGAUCAGUAGCUGGUCUGAGAGGAUGAUCAGCCACACUGGGACUGAGACACGGCCCAGACUCCUACGGGAGGCAGCAGUGGGGAAUUUUCCGCAAUGGGCGAAAGCCUGACGGAGCAAUACCGCGUGAGGGAGGAAGGCUCUUGGGUUGUAAACCUCUUUUCUCAGGGAAUAAGAAAGUGAAGGUACCUGAGGAAUAAGCAUCGGCUAACUCCGUGCCAGCAGCCGCGGUAAUACGGAGGAUGCAAGCGUUAUCCGGAAUGAUUGGGCGUAAAGCGUCCGCAGGUGGCACUGUAAGUCUGCUGUUAAAGAGCAAGGCUCAACCUUGUAAAGGCAGUGGAAACUACAGAGCUAGAGUACGUUCGGGGCAGAGGGAAUUCCUGGUGUAGCGGUGAAAUGCGUAGAGAUCAGGAAGAACACCGGUGGCGAAAGCGCUCUGCUAGGCCGUAACUGACACUGAGGGACGAAAGCUAGGGGAGC